AACAAAAUGAAGGCCUUUCUCAUCACUUUCAUCCUCUUGGUUUCUUUCUUUGUCAUUCCCUCUCUAAUUGCAGCUCGAGAGUUAGACUCAUAAUGGUGAAGUUGGCAGUCGCAAACCUGAAAUUACCUUCAAGAAUGAUAGCGUUACUGAUGCAGGAGGUCCUGGGAAAACUUGCCAUCCUGGUUCUAAAAGCUGCGGUUGCCCUACGUACAAGCCUCAUUGCAAGCCCCCAGCCCCUUGAGUAAGAAAUAAUGCGGUGAAGAGAAGAAUGUAAUAAAGUGCUAUGUGAUGAACUCAAUCACGUGAUACCUUUGCCAUAUCGUGUGAUUAAUAUAUAUAUGUAGCUUCAUGAUGUGCUUUUUCUAUACUAAAUUAUGCUUGUUAGACAAUAAAAUUUCACUUGUACA